rnacentral:rRNA from 1 species
GACGAACGCUGGCGGCGUGCCUAAUACAUGCAAGUCGAACGCAGAAGGGGGAGCUUGCUUCCUUGGACGAGUUGCGCACGGGUGAGUAACGCGUAGGGAACCUGCCCGGUAGCGGGGGAUAACACUUGGAAACGAUAGCUAAUACCGCAUAAUAGUUGAUGAUGCAUAAGAUUUGCUAAAAAAGUGCAAUUUUGUUGUUACUAGUUGGACCUGCGUUGCAUUAGCUAGUUGUUGGGGUAAUGGCUGCCAAAGACGCCGAUGCAUAGCCGCCCGGGGGGGGGGUCCGCCACCCUGGGACUGGGACACGGCCCAGGCUUCUACGGGGAGCAACAAUAAGGGAACCUCGGGAAUGGGCGGAAAUCUUGCCGGGCAACGCCGCCUGAGGUAAGAAAGUUUUCGGGUCGGAAAGCUCUGUUGUAAAGGGAGAAAGAGUUGUGGAAUGAAAUGUUCACGUCGUGACGGUACCUUACCAGAAAGCCACGGCUAACUACGUG